GCUUAUUACGCUCAGUUGGUAGAGCAUGAGAUUCUUAAUCACAGGGUCAUGGGUUCAAUUCCCACGUUGAGCA